AGAGUUUGAUCAUGGCUCAGAAUCAACGCUGGCGGCGCGCCUAACACAUGCAAGUCGAACGAGAAAGUGGAGCAAUCCAUGAGUACAGUGGCGUACGGGUGAGUAACACGUGGGUAAUCUACCUCUUUGUGUGGAAUAACCCUGGGAAACCGGGGCUAAUACCGCAUAAGCUCGAGAGAGGAAAGCAGCAAUGCGCUGAGAGAGGAGCCCGCGGCCGAUUAGCUAGUUGGCAGGGUAAAAGCCUACCAAGGCAAAGAUCGGUAGCCGGCCUGAGAGGGCACACGGCCACACUGGCACUGAAACACGGGCCAGACUCCUACGGGAGGCAGCAGUGGGGAAUCUUGCACAAUGGGGGAAACCCUGGUGCAGCGACGCCGCGUGAGCGAUGAAGCCCUUCGGGGUGUAAAGCUCUUUCGGCAGGGAAGAUGAUGACGGUACCUGCAGAAGCAGCUGCGGCUAACUACGUGCCAGCAGCCGCGGUAAUACGUAGGCAGCAAGCGUUGUUCGGAGUUACUGGGCGUAAAGGGUGUGUAGGCGGUCUUCUAAGUUUGGUGUGAAAUCUCCCGGCUCAACUGGGAGGGUGCGCCGAAUACUGAAAGACUAGAGUACGGGAGAGGAUAGUGGAAUUCCUGGUGUAGCGGUGAAAUGCGUAGAUAUCAGGAGGAACACCGGUGGUGUAGACGGCUAUCUGGACCGUAACUGACGCUGAGACACGAAAGCGUGGGUAGCAAACAGGAUUAGAUACCCUAGUAGUCC
rnacentral:rRNA from 1 species